rnacentral:rRNA from 1 species
GAUCCUGCCGGACCUGACUGCUAUCGGAUUGGUACUAAGCCAUGUGAGUCAUUGUAGCAAUACAAGGCAGACGGCUCAGUAACACGUAGUCAAUCUACCCUAUGGACGUGGAUAACCUCGGGAAACUGAGAAUAAUCCGCGAUAGAUCAUAAUUCCUGGAACGGUUUAUGGUCCAAAUGAUUCGUCGCCAUAGGAUGGGACUGCGGCCUAUCAGCUUGUUGGUGAGGUAAUGGCCCACCAAGGCUAUUACAGGUACGGGCUCUGAGAGGAGAAGCCCGGAGAUGGGUACUGAGACACGGACCCAGGCCCUAUGGGGCGCAGCAGGCGAGAAAACUUUGCAAUGUGCGAAAGCACGACAAGGUUAAUCCGAGUGGUUUCUGCUAAAGAAACCUUUUGUUAGUCCUAGAAACACUAGUGAAUAAGGGGUGGGCAAGUUCUGGUGUCAGCCGCCGCGGUAAAACCAGCACCUCAAGUGGUCAGGAUGAUUAUUGGGCCUAAAGCAUCCGUAGCUCGUUUUGUAAGUUUUCGGUUAAAUCCAUGCGCUUAACGUAUGGGCUGCCGGGAAUACUGCAUAACUAGGAAGUGGGAGAGGUAGACGGUACUCGGUAGGAAGGGGUAAAAUCCUUUGAUCUAUUGAUGACCACCUGUGGCGAAGGCGGUCUACCAGAACAC